CCUACGGGCGGCAGCAGUGAGGAAUAUUGGUCAAUGGACGAGAGUCUGAACCAGCCAAGUAGCGUGAAGGAUGACUGCCCUAUGGGUUGUAAACUUCUUUUAUAUGGGAAUAAAAUGUUCCACGUGUGGGAUUUUGUAUGUACCAUAUGAAUAAGGAUCGGCUAACUCCGUGCCAGCAGCCGCGGUAAUACGGAGGAUCCGAGCGUUAUCCGGAUUUAUUGGGUUUAAAGGGAGCGUAGGUGGAUUGUUAAGUCAGUUGUGAAAGUUUGCGGCUCAACCGUAAAAUUGCAGUUGAAACUGGCAGUCUUGAGUACAGUAGAGGUGGGCGGAAUUCGUGGUGUAGCGGUGAAAUGCUUAGAUAUCACGAAGAACUCCGAGUGCGAAGGCAGUUCACUGGACUGCAACUGACACUGAGGCUCGAAAGUGUGGGUAUCAAACAGGAUUAGAUACCCGGGUAGUC
rnacentral:rRNA from 1 species